rnacentral:misc_RNA from 1 species
CUCCCACAAGAACAAAGACACUUCACCACCGAAGUAUAAGUGGCAACGGUCGGGCAAAUCCCCUUCUCUUCCAUCAGCUUCAACUUAUCAAGUGUUAGCUGCGGCUUAUGAGCCCUACUAUACACAUGAAGCAAUAUAGAAUAACUCGCGACAUCCGGUUCAAUCCCUCUGUGGCGCAUUUCAUCGAACACUUUCUCAGCAGACAUUAUUGUCCUCUCAAACC